CACGGCUAGGGGGCUUCACGCAAAACGCUAUAGGGGGCCCUCCAAAAUGUAUUGUCAUUUCCAAAGCAUGGAUCACUAAAAUAUUGCGGACUAUUAAAAUUCAGUGUCUUGAUUAUUUUUCGAUUUGUCAGGAGGCAAGUAGUGUCUCCAAAGAAAGUACAUGCGUAGACAAUAUGGAACUUUACACUGCAGAAAAUUGCACAAAGGACAUCUGUGACAACUGAACGGUAUCCUUCUGUAAAGUUUUUCGGGCUAGUAUUUUUUUAUUGAUAUUUGAGGUUGGGUAAAAAAGAUUUUGACUUUUUAAUGGUUGGAUCAGCAAAAUUUUUACCAAGAAACAUAUUUUUCUUUGGUGCGACACCCCAGCAUAUAAAAUAUUUUCACCACAUGUAACGUCCAAACCAAAUUAUAAAGCAAAACAAAAAGCGCGGGAAAAUUCAUGUCUCUAGCCCGCAAUUUCCGGCCGUGUUUGGCACUAAUUUUUUGGCAAUUUUUUCUUCAAAUUUCUAUCACUUUUCUGUAAUUUACUUUAAAUAUUCUUCAAAAUUGUAUUUCAUUUAUAUUUCCUUCGUUUUAACCAAUUUGGCGAAUUUUCCUUCAAAAAGGAAAUUUCGGUCAAUAAUCUGGGCUCAGCGGUCUUUCACGUACGUUGCCCUGGUACACUCUAGCGCUUUCAUAUUUCUAGAAAUUUGUAUUGGAAAUUUGUCCUUGUAUUUCAUAAAACUACUGGAAAUUUGUUCUUAUUUUGGAGAUAUUACUCGUUGUAUUGAGUUUACAACGAUUCUGCAAUCAGGUGGCUUGAUUCAGCCGGGUUUUUUGUGUAAUUUUCUGUCGGUAUGAGUGACAUUUAUGAUGUUACAAUUAGCUGUGAUGAGGAGCCUAAGUUGCCUGCUGAUACCCUGGCCAUUUUAAAUGAAUUCUAUCAAGAACAGAAUGAGAAUUUGAGGAAAGAAGAACAGGGAGACAUAGGUGAAGACUGGGUAAAGUAUUGUUUAAUAAUUAUAUCUUGUAAAAUACGCAGGACUUCCAUGAAAACCACGUAGGUGAUUGGAGCUUCCUGUUAAAAUAUUACUUUAAUAAUAAUAAUAAUAAUAUAAGAUGAAACACGCUCGGAGACUCUGAAUAUUAACCAUUAGCCAUUCCGAAGUUGAUGAGAGGACUGGGGACGAGUGUUAAAAAGUGCCCAAAUUAAGAAAUGAACCAAAUCACUAAAAAGACCACCUCAAAAUUAGUAAGUAUACAAAGUUUGAAGAUGUUUACAUGAAUAUCCUUCGAAUAAUAAGCUUCCAAAAAUCGUGACAUUUACUAUGAAAUGUAUUGUAAUUUUUUGUUUUUGGGAUGCGCGUCCCCAAAACAAUCUUUUAAAUCAAUAAUUUCACAAUAUGUCAACUUUGCCCUUUAUAGCAACUCAGUCAAUUUUGGUAUGAUGAUCAUACUGCAACAACUUUAGCUCAAGAGGUCUUGGAAAUUAGCAACUGUGGAAG